GCCAGAGUCAGCACUAGAGUGUCUGACUAUAUUCUUACAGCAAAAAAGAUGAGUGCAAAUGCUCACAAUAAAAGGACAAACAUGCAGAUAUAAAGAAAGAAUCAACAUGACUUACAUAACAGUAAGGUCUUGGACUUUAAUAAGUCAUGGAGGUCAAUGAGAUUACCAGAUGCUGUGUUUGCUGGUCAUGCAAAGCAAACCUGCCCACUGCCCCACACAGACUGUAAACAAGCCUUAAUUAGUAAGUCAAGCUAUCAAAUGUCUCCCUGUCACCAGAGCUGGUUGUUUUUGCACAGGACUUUGGCACAGGAUCCUACAAAUAACUUUCAUAAAGAGCUUUUGGAAUGUCAAGACAAUUUUAUUUUUAUUGCCCAAUAUCACAAUCACAAUUUCUCUCAAUCUGUACAGCAUACAACACAUUCAAAUGGGGAAAAACUCCCUCAGGAAGAGUAACAGAGGAGGGAUCCCUCCCCAGAAUGAGUUGUUAAGAACAUAUAUGAGAAGAGCCAAAGAUAACUGGGCAAGAAAGGAUUUGUUGCUAGUAGGAAGUGUGCAUCCAUUUCACUCUCUGCUCCAAUUUCUUUACGGAGCAAAAUAUAGUACAAAAUGUCGGUCUGAAUGAUGCCUGUGUCAUGAUUUUUAAAGUGGUAAUCUACAAAUUUUUCUAUUCUCAUGUUUUGGUGCCUGUUGCUGUUGUGUCUCUGCACUGCAUUUCCCCAAAAUCACAGUUUAAUCAUUGGGGAAAAUGGUGGAAAAGCUUUCUGAAAACAGGACAUACAAAAGUACAUCUUUGGUUCAAGACUCCAUCAGUUUCCAUUUCAGCUGGCUGAGUUUUGCUUUGCGUCAGCUCUCACUGCUGACAGUCUCUAAUCCAUCUGGCUGACAGCCUGGAGGAGGAAACAUUGUUCAGCCUCACAGUGUUUACAUCUCCAGCCUCCUCCGGAUGAACAAACCCUGCAGCUCAGAGGAAAAGCGAGAGUCUGCAGUUUUGCUAAGAAAUACCAAAGCCCAUCCAUCUCUGUUUAGAAUAUCAACAGCUGGCAGUACCUUUCAGUGUGUUAACCCUCCCCACUAUUUCCUCUCUGUUUAGCAUCUAGACAAAGUUGUUUUUCUCAAACUACAUCUUUGAAAAACAUUUUACAUGUUACUGAUAUCUGGCUUUGCUUCUCCUAUUCCGCACUCUCUCCAACUGCCAAGACAUGCUAACCAUUGACCUUGUCUCUCAUGAUCGUCAGAAACAGUAUUCCUAACGGAGAAAACAGGAAAGAAAAGUAAAAGAAGAGGAAGAUGUGAGGGAGAAAAAGAAAAUUAGACCAAAAUGGAGAGGAAGAAAAAAACUGGAGAGGCAAUGAGAUGAGUAGAGUAAACUAGAGGAAGAAAAAACACGAGAAGCAAAAGAGGAGAAGGGGAAGGGGGCAGGAACCGGUCUGAACCAGUGUAGGCUGACUCUCUGGGCUAUAUACCCCUCCUCACUUCCCUCCUCCUCGUCUUUCCUCUGACUCAGACUGGCUGAACUUUUCUUUUAGUGCUCUGUCAUGCGCUUGUUGCCACCAGGAACAAUUUGGAUACACAUUCCCCACAAGUGUAAGAGGAUCCACAGCAGAGGAGGGGUGAUGGCCACUGCAUGCAUUCUCCACAUGCAGAUAUCUGCCGAGCAUGCCAGCGGGUGCCCCCAGCUAAGGCCCUCAGUGCUGCAAAGGGCAGACGAGGCGCUAAAUGACCCCCCUCUCUAACCCGCCUGCCCACCCCAAAUCCAUCCGCCUGUCUGCUAACCUCGCAACCUUGCUGUGAGACUGGGCCAGUGAGAAGCAGCGCAAACCGGCGUGAGCCAGUGCUGGGAGCUACAUCAACCCCGCCUCCCUCUUCCUCCUACUUCUUCCUCCCAUAUGUGCACACACACACACACACACAUCAAGAUUAGUGUACUUAUGACGGGCCUGCCAUUGUCUGUAUUCACUCUGUCAUAUCUGACCCUCAACUUAACAUCAUUCUCUGACCUAGGAUGGACUACAGUGCAUUUUUGCCUAAAGACCAUUCAAGUUUUUGAUUAGAAGUUGGAUUAUUUAAUUGCAGCUGCUUAGAUUGAUGAUUUUCAUUCAUACAUGGUAUAUACAGCAUUUAAAGAAAGAUUCAACACUUUAUGCCUAAUGUAAACAUCAUAAUUCCAGUCUUACUCCUAGAUUUAGUCUUCUACUCCCAUUUCUAAUCUCUUAAACCACUUGAAGACCCAAGUCUUCAUACUAUAAUUCCCUUUUGUAGAAGUAAAGACUGUCCAAAACAACAUCAGUUCACAAAAAUGCUCUCACUCUGGAGGUCUAAAACUCAAACUGGUACCCACAAAGAGAGAAAAACAACCAUAGUCUCACACAAACACAUACAUACACACACACACGUCCUCCUCUGUCCCCUGGCUCUAACUAUCUUAUAGCUGCAUAUAUACAGUGGCAGAACAUAGUAUGUAAAACUGUUUAUGACCAGGCCUUUGAAACAGGAUGAGAAAAUCUGAUCUCUUUCUCUGUGUUUAGACAAGAAGAUGAUCUCUUCAAACAGUUAAACAUUGUCACACAAAUACAGAGUUAGGUUUUCUUUCCUGUUAAAGAACUUUCCCAAUCUUUAGUGGGGUUGGUGUUGUUGUUGGUGGUGGUGCAAUAAGAUUGAUUUAAGUCACAGUGCGAGAAUGUGUUUCUCUGAGAGCAAACACAAAGUUUAGCCAGAGUGGUCCAAGUUUACAAGGCCUUUUCCUGUUGUUGGGGAGCUGUGAGGUAUUUUAGUGAGCCAACUUCCCAUUAAGUUCCCACUCGUUCAAGGACACUUUUAGCUUGACUCCCUUUCUGGAGUUUAUAAGGGAAAAUGUGAGAAAACUUCCUCAAAUUAGCACAGAUGCUCUCACACUGUAAAAAUACACAGCAUGCACUUUUUAGGUAUUUGCACAAGCGAGGAUUAAGUUCAACAAGUACAUCUUCAGUACACGAUAUUGGCGUAAUAAAAAUUAAUUUUUAAUCCGGUUUUACAAACUCUUUUGAACUUAAUUUAUUUAAUUCCCAGCAUCACAGAGUGAAUCAGGUGGCUGCUAUCGACAUUCAUUUUUGCUAUGUAUUUACACAGGAUUGAAGGGUUGGUUUAUAAGAUUUUAAUUUCUGACUGAAAUCAAUUAAUUGAAAAGGAGAGAACGGUCACUAUGCCAUCAAGGUUCCAGCGUGACUGAAUUUUGUUGUGCUGCUUUCUGGUAUGACUAGGCACUUCUACUGCUAUGACCUAAGUUGGUAGAGCCAGUGUUCUGAUGCAAGGGUAGAUAAACAAUGACAAAUGAAUUUCAGGGGUGUUUGUGUAAAUUUCCAUUCCCUCUCCCUAUAUUUUGUUGUCCCUGCAACCACAUAUUAACCCAAUAAUGCAAUUUUUAGCAGGACUGCUUUUUUGGCAAAACUUUAGCCUAAUAAAUGUAAAUAGAAACAAAUGAUAUCUGAUUCAUUAGUAUCUGUAACUCCAAUAGUAAAUCAACAUUUUCCUGACUGCUAUUUUUCUCUCACACACACAUCUAUUUGUGUCAUGCAGAAAAAAAGUCACACAUACCCAUACAAAUCACAAAGAUCAGUAAAGUGCAGAAAACAAACAAAAGGCAGAAGUCAGCAUGUUUUCAUUCACAGUUCAAGUCUAUAUACAGCAUAGAGACAGCAGGGGGAGAGGGGUGUUCCACAGUAGUUGAUGAGUCACAUGCUCAGAACCGAGGAACACAGGAAACUCAGGGAACGCUUUUCUCCUCUCAUCAUGCGCAAUGUGCAUCACAUUAGGUUCGUGUGUUUUGGAGUGUGCAUCUGGCAGCGGCAUGGGUGCAUGUGAAGCUGAUUUUAUCUCCACCUGCAUAAAACACACAGGCAGGAGGUAGGUUGAGAGAACUUGCAAUACAAGUUUUACUCAGUUCAAAAGGUCACAUAGGGAAAUCAGUGUGUUGAAAGUUGACAUUGUUCUUAUUUCUCUGGGUGCACAAUCAUUUAGCUUGAUUAACAGUUUCAGAUUUAACCAAUCGCCCCAGAGUCAUAUAAACUUAUCUGUGUAUAACUGUCACUGAAAAAUCAACACUUAAUGACUGAAAAAUGUACUCUAUAGAGUGGAUUUUCUCCAAUCGUGACAACCAUCUAAGUGUGGCUGUUAGGGUAUCAAAAAAAUCCUGAAUCCUAAUUUCACACAGUGAUGCCAUGAAAAAUGAGAUUUGUGUUACAAUCCUGUAGUAACAUACAUGUGACUUUGUUAUGCUUAUACUGAGUUCAAAAACUCGGCAACUUGGCACAACUACAAAUCAGAGGUAAUGGCCUGAAUGUAAUGUUUAAUUAGUUUAACUUUAAAUCGAGACAUCCUGGAACUUUCCUGGAAGCUGGAAAAAAUUAAAAUGUACUCAUAUAACAGAACUUCACCAUAGCGGACAAUGAAUUGCACUAUUAUUAUAAUAAAUUCCAGCUAUCGGCUUUUUAUAGAAUGGAUACAUAUAUAGAGCAUGUUGGAACAGAAGCCGUUCAGACAAAUAGAGGCUACAGAGUUAGUCAUGUUGACCAGUCAACCUCUUGGCUGCGACCUCUCACACAGUUCCUGGACGUCCUAGAGUUUCCCCUCUGCAAAGCGAAUAACAAACUAUCUGCCCCCUCACCUGGAUUCCACCUCUCGCAAACAAAGUUUGUAGGAAAUAUGGUUCCACUGGUGUGAGACAGAGGCUGCCAAUCUUUUGUAGCAUGGCUUUAUCUGUUUAUAGCACUGAAUCACAGGGAUUUUGAUUAUUUUUGCACAGUGGCCCAGGGGUUACCUGUGUCGCCUCGUAACUCAAAUCUCAACCCUGCUCUUUUCUCUGUAGAGAUUUCAUGUUCUCAUGUUUGUGUCUCAUCAUAUUUACCAAAAGACAUGCAUGUUGAGUAUCUGGGAUUGCUGUUGCUAUUGCCUGCCAAGUAACUGGUCUCAAAUGGGUCCUGAGAAACUGCCCUACGGCCGCCCACUGCUACUAAAUAAUUAGGAUUGUUUAAAUGCAGAGGAUGAUUUCCAGCUUGGUCAUUACUAUAAUAAAAAGUGAAAAUUUAAUUUUCAA